GUAUUCGCCGGAGAUGGCAAGUAAAAUAGUGGUCCUGUGCGCUAUACUCCACAAUAUCGCGGUAAGGAGUAGCGUAGAGCUUCCUCAGACAGAGGAAUUGCCUGAUGAGGAGCCAGGGGUUGUCCGACACUUCGGUGGGGGGAGUGUUACAAGGAGGGGGAGCCAAGUCAGGGCAAGCAUUGUUGCUGAAUUUUUCAGCUGAAAGACCACACAAACUGAGGACGACCACAACGGCAAGCACCACAUGAUGCACCAGCUCAGCACCCUUCCCCUUCUCACUCCCCCUCCACUUCCCAGUCCCCCUCCCCUUCUCACUCCCCCUCCCCUUCUCACUCCCCCUCCCCUUCUCACUCCCCCUCCCCUUCUCACUCCCCCUCAGCUUCCCAAUCCCCCUCAGCUUCCCAAUCACCCUCAGCUUCACAAUCCACCUCAGCUUCCCAGUCACCCUCAGCUUCACAAUCCACCUCAGCUUCCCAGUCACCCUCAGCUUCCCAGGACCCCUCAGCUUCCCAGGCCCACUCCACUUUCCACUCCCCUUCUCAGCCAACCUCUCCUUCUCUUUCUGUGACCCCUUCUCCUCCUUCCCAUACCCCUUCUCCUUCUACUUCCAAC